UUUUCGGUACCGUAAGGUGGUACCAGAAUAAAGGGCUGGGCAAGACCGGUGCCAGCCGCCGCGGUAAUACCGGCAGCCCAAGUGAUGGCCCGAUCUUAUUGGGCCUAAAGCGUCCGUAGCUGGCCGCGCAAGUCCAUCGGGAAAUCCACCUGCUCAACAGGUGGGCGCCCGGUAGAAACUGCGUGGCUUGGGACCGGAAGGCGCGACGGGUACGUCCGGGGUAGGAGUGAAAUCCCGUAAUCCUGGACGGACCGCCGAUGGCGAAAGCACGUCGCGAGGACGGAUCCGACAGUGAGGGACGAAAGCCAGGGUCUCGAACCGGAUUAGAUACCCGGGUAGUCCUGGCCGUAAACAAUGUCUGCUAGGUGUGGCUCCCACUACGAGUGGGUGCUGUGCCGUAGGGAAGCCGCUAAGCAGACCGCCUGGGAAGUACGUCCGCAAGGAUGAAACUUAAAGGAAUUGGCGGGGGAGCACUACAACCGGAGGAGCCUGCGGUUUAAUUGGACUCAACGCCGGACAUCUCACCAGCAUCGACUGUAAUAAUGACGACCAGGUUGAUGACCUUGUC
rnacentral:rRNA from 1 species